UACCGUUGAUACUUACAAACAAUCCAAGAGUAGGGCAGUUUGACCCCUUUCCCAGUAUCCAUGACUGAUAAAUUUUUAUCAGUGUUGGCGUAUUAACGAGGAUGUGGAAAGUACGUGGAAAGUACGGAAAGGUUAAGUUAGGUCACUCUCCUUGCAUGAACUGUUGCAUUUCUAACCCAUAUUUGACCUGUUCGACUCAACAGGUGUAUUGUGUAGAGGGCAGUUUCGACUCAAUUCGUUGUAACUUUUGUGCUAUGACUACCUUUGCUGUCGUGGAAUUUCUUCAGGAAGGGUCGGUGGAAGUUGUCCAUAAAUCUUGGAUAAGGAAAAACAAGGGGCCAGUAGCUAAACAUUGUGUCCUUCAUAAGUGUUAGUGCAUUAGCAAUUACUGCAUUACGUUUCAAUAGAUUUAAAAUAGACGAUUCCCAGAUGCACAGCAAUUUUUUAAAUUACUGUCACAGAUAGACUCUGUUCAUUUUGUCUUUACAAUCUACAGGCCUGAUGUAUCAUGAUGCGAUGGUGAUUUUUCGUCUUUUUUUUUUUUAUCAAGGAACCAUUGAGGUGUUUCUGGCCCAAAAAGAGUGUCUCAACAAGGGUUCGUAAAAGGGAGAUUCCAGAUGAAGAAAAGUGAGCAGCUACGAGAUACGGGUGUUCAUUUAUACUGAUUCAUAUGAAAAGGCACUCCAUAAUGCAAAAAUCGCAGAGGAUACGUCAACUGUCGAAUCGGUGGACAGCGAUGAUGAGCCCCGUCGACGAAAGCGACCUGCUGGAUAUCAGUCGUCUUCCCCGUCAGAGGUGGGGAGUGACAGCAAAGAUGAUAUGGCACCAUUGAAGAAGCAACCAACCCCAAAGCCCCUAGCAAAUCCCCCAGAUGUAGACAUCGAUUUGCUCAACCAAG